UUUUCCCUCUGGUAGUUCCUUGAUUAGGGUAUUGUCUACUGUAUGAUUCUCUUCUCUUGUCUACCUCAAUGGGUUGAUGCCUGCUUAUUGUAAAAUCUUCAAUCCAGACACAGGCAACAGAAUUCUACAGAGGAUUUGAACAGCACGGCUAAUGAAAUUAUGGAAGUUCUCAUCCCCAGGAUCUGGAGCAUCGGCUGCAAUGUUGCCUCUUUUGCAAAAGAAAGCUAACUGGCACUAAUCAAAAGCUGAAAUGGUUUCCAUCUGCAGUUUGUUACGUGAUCCAGUUCUGACACUGUUUGACUCACAAGGGUGUGAUCUAGGGGUGAAGGCACCAGGCUAGAAAGCAGCAGACGACUCCAUCUCAGCUCAUGUCUGGGGAGCUCUUUGCGGCAACAUGACCUGCAAUUGUCCACUUCAAGGUUAGUUUUACACAUCUUACUAUUCACUUUCCCUGACAAUGGAAGUGUCUGUGGUAGACCAGUCCAAGCUCUCCAUACAGAAUCCAAAGCAGAAGACGACAACGAGGAGCAGAUUCAAAAAAAAUGCCAGUCUUUGUAGCCCAAGAUCUCAGCUCACAUGGAGGACCUCAUCAUAGGCACGCUGGAUUCAUUUCUAUGGCCGUUAAGGGCAUGGUAAGGAGCCCAUGUUGAAAGCAGGGGGCUCACUGAAAUGCUUAUUGUGGAUUAUUACACAUAGCUCAAACUGACUCAUUUCAAGAAAUGUACAAAGGCCUGUUAUGCUCGGACAGAGCCUUCAAAUCAUUUCACCUGGAGGAUUGGGUCGCUAAUCAGUUGACUGAGCUGCUAAACUCCACUCAACCUUCCAACUCUUUUUUGGAGCCUAUCAGUUGCCAGUUGCUAGAAACAGGAGCAGACCUCAGA